rnacentral:lncRNA from 1 species
GUGAGCUAGGCCUAAUUAGUAAGAGUAUAUAAGAUUAGUGGUAGCAUAAUCUUAGUUUGAAGAUUCAUUUGAUAAGUUUCACCUAGAAAGAGGUUAAAUGAGAGAAGAGAGAAAAAUAUAGAGAAAGAAGAAUUUCAAGGGAGAAGAGGAUCUAACUUGAAGAAACUCAAGAGGGAGAGUAGAUUGGAGCUUAGAACUUAGCUUUUGAGAGUUAGAGACGUGCAAGAUUGAUGACGCUUGAGACGGCAUGAGUACUGAGGAUUAACUUGACGCUUCCUCAUUUUCUUGUUGCUUUUGGAGUCUAAUUGUAGGCUCUGAUUAGGACUUUGGUCAUGAGUUUAUUUUCUUUUGGUAUCUGUUGAGGACCUGGAGUUUAUUUGAUGUAUUUUGAGAUUGAGAUAUGUUGUUGAAAUUUUUUAUGAAAAUUGAAUUAUGUAUGAUUUUGUGUUUCUUGAAUGCUCAGUACCUUGAACCUUGUAUUUAUCUGUUGAUUUAUUAUUAA